CCUACGGGUGGCAGCAGUGGGGAAUAUUGGACAAUGGGGGGAACCCUGAUCCAGCGACGCCGCGUGAGUGAAGAAGUAUUUCGGUAUGUAAAGCUCCAUCAGCAGGGAAGAAAGAAAUGACGGUACCUGCCUAAGAAGCCCCGGCUAACUACGUGCCAGCAGCCGCGGCAAUACGUAGGGGGCAAGCGUUAUCCGGAUUUACUGGGUGUAAGGGGAGCGUAGACGGCGAUGCAAGUCUGAAGUGAAAGGCGGGGGCCCAACCCCCGGACUGCUUUGGAAACUGUAUGGCUGGAGUGCAGGAGAGGUAAGUGGAAUUCCUGGUGUAGCGGUGAAAUGCGUAGAUAUUAGGAGGAACACCGGUGGCGAAGGCGGCUUACUGGACUGUGACUGACGUUGAGGCUCGAAAGCGUGGGGAGCAAACAGGAUUAGAUACCCGAGUAGUC
rnacentral:rRNA from 1 species